rnacentral:rRNA from 1 species
ACCGACUAAUGUUGAAAAAUUAGCGGAUGACUUGUGGCUGGGGGUGAAAGGCCAAUCAAACCGGGAGAUAGCUGGUUCUCCCCGAAAGCUAUUUAGGUAGCGCCUCGUGAAUUCAUCUCCGGGGGUAGAGCACUGUUUCGGCAAGGGGGUCAUCCCGACUUACCAACCCGAUGCAAACUGCGAAUACCGGAGAAUGUUAUCACGGGAGACACACGGCGGGUGCUAACGUCCGUCGUGAAGAGGGAAACAACCCAGACCGCCAGCUAAGGUCCCAAAGUCAUGGUUAAGUGGGAAACGAUGUGGGAAGGCCCAGACAGCCAGGAUGUUGGCUUAGAAGCAGCCAUCAUUUAAAGAAAGCGUAAUAGCUCACUGGUCGAGUCGGCCUGCGCGGAAGAUGUAACGGGGCUAAACCAUGCACCGAAGCUGCGGCAGCGACGCUUAUGCGUUGUUGGGUAGGGGAGCGUUCUGUAAGCCUGUGAAGGUGUGCUGUGAGGCAUGCUGGAGGUAUCAGAAGUGCGAAUGCUGACAUAAGUAACGAUAAAGCGGGUGAAAAGCCCGCUCGCCGGAAGACCAAGGGUUCCUGUCCAACGUUAAUCGGGGCAGGGU